AUUGAACGCUGGCGGCAGGCUUAACACAUGCAAGUCGAGCGGGGAGAUGUAGCUUGCUACAUUUCCUAGCGGCGGACGGGUGAGUAAUGCUUAGGAAUCUGCCUAUUAGUGGGGGACAACAUUCCGAAAGGAAUGCUAAUACCGCAUACGUCCUACGGGAGAAAGCAGGGGAUCUUCGGACCUUGCGCUAAUAGAUGAGCCUAAGUCAGAUUAGCUAGUUGGUGGGGUAAAGGCCUACCAAGGCGACGACCUGUAGCGGGUCUGAGAGGAUGUACCGCCACACUGGGACGGAGACACGGCCCAGACUCCUACGGGAGGCAGCAGUGGGGAAUAUUGGACAAUGGGCGCAAGCCUGAUCCAGCCAUGCCGCGUGUGUGAAGAAGGCCUUUUGGUUGUAAAGCACUUUAAGCGAGGAGGAGGCUACUUGGAUUAAUACUCUAGGAUAGUGGACGUUACUCGCAGAAUAAGCACCGGCUAACUCUGUGCCAGCCGCCGCGGUAA
rnacentral:rRNA from 1 species